AUGGGCACAACCCUCAUUUCCCCAACAACAAACCCAACACACAUCAACCUCCCACCAACCCCACAGACAAAACAGAACCACAAAUACCCAACCACAGUCCCCACCACAACAAAAUUACACUCAAAUGCCCCACAACCAACCACAAUCACCACCUCAGUAUCAAUACCUCCAUAUGCCUCACAUCCAACCGCAAUACCAAUCACAAUACCAACACACCCGCAUACCUCACACACAAUUUCAGUCUUCCGUUAUCCCAAUAUGGGCCCCUCAACAUCCAGCCUUAGCCCUGAUCUGGGAAUGUCGGAAGAUUACGAACCAACCGACCCAGCUUACCAUCAACCACAGUAUCACCAAACCACCCAACAUCCUCAAUACCAAACACCCAAAGAUCCAUUUCCUUUCUACCCCCCGUGCUCAGACGAUCAAUGCUACAGACCCACCAUGGAACCCCACCCACCGCCAACACGACCAAACUUUAAGGGUAUGGGUAACCGACUGUACCAAAGCGGAUCUUCU